UUCGAGCGUCAUUAUCAACCAUCAAGCUCUGCUUGGCAUUGGGCGUCGUCCCCCCGGACGGGCUCUAAAGACCUCGGCGGCGGUGUCAAACCUCAAGCGUAGUAGAAUCUUUAGCUUUUUAGGUCUGGCAUCGUCUCGCCUCGAGAACCCAUCACCUCAAGGUUGACCUCGGAUCAGGUAGGGAUACCCGCUGAACUUAA
rnacentral:misc_RNA from 1 species